GUCUUCUCGCUAUAGCAGAGGAGACCCUGGCAGAGUUCCUUUCAAGGCUACUGGAACUGCUGUCGACUGGUCCAGAUGCUUGGGAUGAAGCCUGGUCCGGAUUCUAUAGGAAUCAUUGUUUCCCACAAUUGUAGUGGAGUUGCAGCACGAGCUUGCGGUCUUGUGAGUUUAGAGCCCACAAAGGUCGCUGAGAUCUUCAAAGAUCGCGUCCAUCUUGGUUCCAUGAUUGCCGUUGCCUUGAUGUCUUGUCUACAAUCCCUGCUGGAAAUGGAGGGACUUUAGAGCUUAUAUACAUGCAGGUUUGUUGUUCUCGCGCAGUUUACUUGACUGUUGGAAUGAAGUUCAGGUUUUGUUGAACAUUUAGCAUUUGUUUUUG